rnacentral:siRNA from 1 species
UCAAUAGGUGUUUGUAAUUAG